AUUAGCAUGAUUCCAUUUAUAAUUGCGUAUCUAAGAGGACGUUACAUAGAGAGUGUUUAAGGAUUGAUCUACAGUAGUGUUAGUAGUUGUAAGGGGUACUCGUGACUAUUUCUUUAAUUCUUUCAGUCUUCAUUCUGCAGUGUUGUGUUGGCAAUGGAGGAGUAUGUUUGUCGGAUUUGUGUUUUGAUCAUCCGUGUGGACAAUCGGUUUGACUGAGUGUUUGCUUGUCAAGGAUGCAGACAUUGUGGAUUGAUCACCGUUUGGAGUUAAUUAUUUUGCAGUUGGUGAUGUGUUGGCGGUUUUUUUAUGAUGAGGAGAUGAUUAUUUAGUGAAGACCAUAUUACGAGGAAACAUGAAAGGGUCGUUGCCGUCGUGCCACCUACCGUCAUCUAUUUUAUUCAAAAUCUUUGUAUUCUUCUGAAUGUGCCAUCGAAAUGAUACAGAUCACCAACCCCAGCAUAGACCAAUCUCUCAUUUCAUCUUCUCGAGAGAAGAUUGGAUAACUGAUCAGCUGUGGUUUCAUGUGAUCUUAACUCCAGGUUUCUAAAUUUGCAUGGCAGACUUUAUGAGAAGUUGUGUCCUUUCAAGAAAGUCAACAAGGUCACUUGUUUACUAACCUUUUGGCUGCUACCCUUGAAUCUCCCGUUUUACUCUCUAAAGCGGGCCAUCUUAAUUUGAGGGUAAUCCUUCGCUACUUGUCAUUGACUUCAACCACUGGGGAAAACCGACGAGAGAAUGCUGUAAUCCAAGACUGAUAAAUUGUUUAAUCGUUAGAUUAAAUUAUAAGUGCUUAUCUGGGCUCCCUUCUUUUCUGUGGCCCCGUUUCCCUAUCUAACCACUAACCAAUGCCCGCCGGUGGUCACUCACCCGCUGUGAA
rnacentral:lncRNA from 1 species